rnacentral:rRNA from 1 species
AACGCUGGCGGCGUGCCUAAUGCAUGCAAGUCGAACGCACUGACAGAGAAACUUGUUUCUCUUGACGUGAGUGGCGCACGGGUGAGUAACACGUGGGAAACCUACCCUUCAGCGGGGGAUAACCGUCGGAAACGAUGGCUAAUACCGCAUAGGUCUUUUAACCGCCUGGUUGAAAGAGGAAAGACGGCUUCGGCUGUCACUGAAGGAUGGUCCCGCGGUGCAUUAGCUAGUUGGUAAGGUAACGGCUUACCAAGGCGAUGAUGCAUAGCCGACCUGAGAGGGUGAUCGGCCACAUUGGGACUGAGACACGGCCCAAACUCCUACGGGAGGCAGCAGUAGGGAAUCUUCCGCAAUGGACGAAAGUCUGACGGAGCAACGCCGCGUGUGUGAAGAAGGUCUUCGGAUCGUAAAGCACUGUUAUUAGAGAAAAACAACCGGUAGAGUAACUGUUACCGGCUUGACGGUAUCUAACCAGAAAGCCACGGCUAACUACGUGCCAGCAGCCGCGGUAAUACGUAGGUGGCAAGCGUUGUCCGGAUUUAUUGGGCGUAAAGGGAGCGCAGGCGGUUCCUUAAGUCUGAUGUGAAAGCCCACGGCUCAACCGUGGAAGGUCAUUGGAAACUGGGGAACUUGAGUGCAGAAGAGGAGAGUGGAAUUCCAUGUGUAGCGGUGAAAUGCGUAGAUAUAUGGAGGAACACCAGUGGCGAAGGCGACUCUCUGGUCUGUAACUGACGCUGAGCUCGAAAGCGUGGGGAGCAAACAGGAUUAGAUACCCUGUAGUCCACGCCGUAAACGAUGAGUGCUAAGUGUUGGAGGGUUUCCACCCUUCAGUGCUGCAGCUAACGCAUUAAGCACUCCGCCUGGGGAGUACGGCCGCAAGGCUGAAACUCAAAGGAAUUGACGGGACCCG